AACGAAGGUAGCUUGCUACCAGGCGUCGAGCGGCGGACGGGUGAGUAAUGCUUAGGAAUCUACCGAGUAGUGGGGGAUAGCCAUUGGAAACGAUGAUUAAUACCGCAUAUAUCCUACGGGGGAAAGCAGGGGACCUUCGGGCCUUGCGCUAUUCGAUGAGCCUGAGUGAGAUUAGCUAGUUGGUGGGGUAAAGGCCUACCAAGGCGACGAUCUCUAGCUGGUCUGAGAGGAUGAUCAGCCACACUGGGACUGAGACACGGCCCAGACUCCUACGGGAGGCAGCAGUGGGGAAUAUUGCACAAUGGACGAAAGUCUGAUGCAGCCAUGCCGCGUGUGUGAAGAAGGCCUUCGGGUUGUAAAGCACUUUCAGCGAGGAGGAAAGGUUAGUCGUUAAUAUCGGCUAGCUGUGACGUUACUCGCAGAAGAAGCACCGGCUAAUUUAGUGCCAGCAGCCGCGGUAAUACUAAAGGUGCAAGCGUUAAUCGGAAUUACUGGGCGUAAAGCGCGCGUAGGUGGUUUGUUAAGUUGGAUGUGAAAGCCCAGGGCUCAACCUUGGAACUGCAUUCAAAACUGACUCACUAGAGUACGAGAGAGGUUAGUGGAAUUUCCUGUGUAGCGGUGA
rnacentral:rRNA from 1 species